UACGUAGGGGGCGAGCGUUGUCCGGAGUUACUGGGCGUAAAGCGCUUGUAGGCGGUCCACCAAGUUUGGGGUGACAGUUGCCGACUUAAUCGGCAAAGUGCCUCAAAGACUGGCGGACUUGAGGGCCACAGAGGGACAUGGAACUCCAGGUGUAGUGGUGAAAUGCGUAGAUAUCUGGAAGAACACCAAAGGCGAAGGCAGUGUCCUGGGUGGUCGCUGACGCUGAGAGGCGAAAGCCAGGGGAGUGAACGGG
rnacentral:rRNA from 1 species